AAGAUUAAGCCAUGCAUGUCUAAGUAUAAGCAAUUAUACCGCGAAACUGCGAAUGGCUCAUUAUAUAAGUUAUCGUUUAUUUGAUAAUACUUUACUACUUGGAUAACCGUGGUAAUUCUAGAGCUAAUACAUGCUAAAAUCCCGACUUCGGAAGGGUUGUAUUUAUUAGAUUAAAACCAAUGCCCCUCGGGGCUCUCUGGUGAAUCAUGAUAACUAGUCGAAUCGACA
rnacentral:rRNA from 1 species